GUGGGAGCGGGCGGGCGGCGUUUGCACGGUGCGGAGUGAUUAGUGGGUUUGAACCGCCGGCCCCGGCUCCGCCGCAUUUCCCGCUCGGGUCCGGGCGCAGGGAGGAAGUGUUUUGCUGGAAGAUGAUGACAGAGGUCAGGCUUCACUAAUGGGCCAGUGAAGAGCAGUGGAGGCGAGGCAGAGACCAAGGCACACACACAUUAAUACACUUGAACCAUCACCAAUCAGCAUAGGAAUUCAAGAUCACACAACCAGCACCUUCAGUGGAGAAAAACUAUUUUGCUGGCAACUCUUUUUAAAGCACCAUCAUUUCAAACCAGUGCGCUUUUAAACUAUUGACAGGAGCUUUGACAACAAGACAGGAUGCCUCAUAAAGAGGGAAGACUUUAACUAGUGACACGCAGAUGUGCGAGUCCCUAAAUUGUAUGAGAGGACAGUCCACCCCGCUUUCAG